GGGGCUACUACAUAAGAACAGUUGCGGCACUCACCAACAAAGGUAAAGUUGGAAAUUGUGAAGCGUGCACAACUUACUGCCCUAUGGUUUAAACUCGGUCGAACAACAGUAGGUGCUAACCUGUUGCUCGCAGCCGCGGCGGCACCGGUGCCUCCUGCUCCGAUGGCAAACUUUGAAAGAAACAGGCCUCGCCCACCCGCUCCAAUGGCAAACUGGUAGGAUCCCAAACCGAGACCUGGAAGCAUGGAGAAACAGGCCUCGCCCGUCCCGCUCAGAAACGUUUUGAAAAUUGGUUUGUUGUUGUAUAUGGAAGGCGUGAGAUGGACAGAGUAUGAUUGGUCGCUUUAUUUUUGGGCAUUGGAGGUGUAAGAUGGAAAGAACGAAAAGAUUGAUUGGCGUUGUAUAUCUGUUUGCGAUUGCGAUGCGAUUUGAUUCCUGUUGUGUAUGGAAAGUAUUAUUUGGAAAGGAUAAUAUUGUUUGGAAAGGAUGCCAUCGGUUAAUAUUUGAUUCCCGUUGUGUAUGGAAAGUAUUAUUUGGAAAGGUUAUUAUUGUUUGGAAAGGAUGCCAUCGGUUAAUAUUUGAUUCUUGUUGUGUAUGGAAAGUAUUAUUUGGAAAGGUUAUUAUUGUUUGGAAAGGAUGUCAUCGGUUAAUAUUGUUUGGCCUUUGUAGGGUUUCUUUGGGAUUGUCUCGGUUAAUAAAAAAA
rnacentral:lncRNA from 1 species